AUGGGGGAGAGGUUUAUGAAGCACCCUGAACUUCUCAAUCUCACAGCAACAGUAGAGCAACAUGACCUCUAGCAGCAGCCUCAGCCGUGGGGGACAGGGGCUCUAGCAGCAGCCUCAGCUGUGGGGGAUAGGGGCUCCAGCAGCAGCCUUAGCCGUGGGGGACAGCAAUCUGGGCUCUAGCAGCAGCCUCAGCCGUGGGGGACAGGUUUAUGAAGCAAUCUGGGCUCUAGCAGCAGCCUCAGCCAUGGGGGACAGGUUUAUGAAGCACCCUGCACUUCUCAAUCUCACAGCAACAGUAGAUCAACAUGACCUCCAGCAGCAGCCUCAGCCAUGGGGGACAGGUUUAUGAAGCACGCUGAACUUCUCAAUCUCACAGCAACAGUAGAUCAACAUGACCUCCAGCAGCAGCCUCAGCCAUGGGGGACAGGUUUAUGAAGCACCCUGAACUUCUCAAUCUCACAGCAACAGUAGAUCAACAUGACCUCCAGCAGCAGCCUCAGCCAUGGGGGACAGGUUUAUGAAGCAAUCUGGGCUCUAGCAGCAGCCUAAGCCAUGGGGGACAGGUUUAUGAAGCACCCUGAACUUCACAAUCUCACAGCAACAGUAGAUCAACAUGACCUCCAGCAGCAGCCUCAGCCAUGGGGGACAGGUUUAUGAAGCAAUCUGGGCUCUAGCAGCAGCCUCAGCCGUGGGGGACAGGUUUAUGAAGCACCCUGAACUUCACAAUCUCACAGCAACAGUAGAUCAACAUGACCUCCAGCAGCAGCCUCAGCCAUGGGGGACAGAUUUAUGAAGCACCCUGAACUUCUCAAUCUCACAGCAACAGUAGAUCAACAUGACCUCCAGCAGCAGCCUCAGCCAUGGGGGACAGGUUUAUGAAGCACCCUGAACUUCUCAAUCUCACAGCAACAGUAGAUCAACAUGACCUCUAGCAACAGCCUCAGCCAUGGGGGACAGGGACUCUAGCAGCAGCCUCAGCCAUGGGGGACAGGUUUAUGAAGCACCAUGAACUUCUCAAUCCCACAGCAACAGUAGAUCAACAUAACCUGAAAGCGGUUCCUGUUCAGUGUCUAACAGUAUUCUAAUGACCAAGCCACGCCAGCAAAGCAGUAAUAAUAGCAGUCAAGUCGAGGAUCACCCAAAACCACUUGGUGCCUAGCGAUAAUUUUUUAUGCUACCAACUUGACCUGGUUAUUGUACUAACGUGGGAGUCAGGUUUAAGGUCACAUUAGGUUAAAAGGCUUAAAUCAGCAUAUAUGGUCAUGGUAGUAAGAAAAUUUAAGAUAAUAAAGGGACUUGUUAACCAACUUGAUGACCAAGUUAUUUAAUAUUGUUCCAAAUGUAUCUUUAAAGGAAAUGACUGCAAUACAGGGAAUCAUAAGAAAAUCUACAUACUUUCACCUUUAAAUGUGUAAAAUUAACAAUAAACAAAAUGACUACAAAACAGGCAUUUACAAGAACAUCUUUGAACAUUUUCCUUUAAGUAUUGCUCAAUCUUUCUCAGUGAACAAAAUGUAUGCAGAAAGAAAAUCUUUGUCUCUAUAAAGAUUGCUUACUAUGUUUUUACUGCAAACUGAUUUAUUACAGAACAGGAAUGUAUCUUUUAACAUUAUCGUUGAAAUUUCUCAACCAUUUGCAGUUAACAACAUGACUGCAUAAUAUGGCGUCAAUGGCAAAGAAGAAGUGAUCAGAGGGGGUUAUAACGUGAAAGUCAAGAAGGCGACGUCCAUUAUGAGACUGAAAACCCUGAUUGCAAAAUGCAGAGUCUGCUCCGGAAGCAUUUGCAGACACAGAAUAUGAACCCGCUGCAGUCAUCGUCUUCAGAUUAUAUCAUCUCUAUGGUGCAGGACCCUCAGUCUGUGUACACAGGGAACCUUCGACGCCAAUGACGAAAUCAAACCAUACAAUCAGAAAUACACCCUGUUGCAGUAGUUAUUACCAUAUUGACCCCAGUCAAACAAAAGAAGCUCAGAGAUAAAUACUGUUCAUGGUGUUCUAGUCUCUACAUACCUUGUGGUAUGUUGAGCACGUACUCUGACAGGUUCUAUCUUAUAAUUGUUUGACUGGUGGAAAAUAAAUGACCUUGUUCAAGUCGAAAUGUCAGAAUAACAAUUCAUAAUUCAAAUGCCAAAAAGUCAUAUCAACAGCCACAUUUGUUAUGUGACCAGCAAAGUUGUUUUCAAAGAGACACAAUAGUUUACUUUAUAUUUUCUUGUGACCAACCAAGUUGUAUUUAAUGAAAAACAAUAGUUUAUGUUUUAUGGGAAUUAUGAUGCUGUCAGUCAUGUUAUGUUGGACGUUUUAGUUAAAUAUAGUAUGUUUCAAAAUGUAUUAUUUGAAGCACACAUAUUGCAGGUAUAUCCAAUGUCUGUGUUUGUAUUAUGAACCUUUCACUUCAGAUUUUGAUCCGGAUAUGGUAAAUUUAAGGGAAAUACAAUCAUAACAAAGUUAUUUUAAGAUUGUCAAAGCUGUUUAAAAGUUUAUGGUAACUUGGACACAAUUGAAAAUAUAUUGGCAUAUUGUCCAUGUUUCAGUUUUCUGUUUUACCAGUAAUAUAGAUGUGCUCAUUAAAAUAAUUCCCCAAAGAGGUUGAGAGUUAUGACACUUCAGCUUUUCUGUAUAUCAAUCUUUCUGAACACAAUACUUGUCAAUUUGCUCAUUCGGGUCGGUAUUUGAUCCAAAAUCUUGUUAAGUAGCAUACUAUUUCAAGGGAAUAUAAAUUAUCUGGGAAAAAGUGUUUAAUCUACUUAAAUUUAUUGAUUCUUUGUUACCACCAGUACUUUGUUGAUUUCAAUUGCUAUGGUUUGCUAAAUAAUUAAAGCAUGACUGUUGUUUUAUUUGGAAAGCUUUUAAUAAAACUCAGAAUUAAAAACAA